AGAAAGAGACUACCUAGUUCUCCUAUAACAUCUCUUAACAUAAUAGCCCGCACCGAACCUAUCCGCAAUCUCAACAUGCAACGCAUGUACAAGUAUUAUUCCAGACGGCUAGUCUACUCGAAGUCCAACUCCGAUUACUGCUUUGGAUAUUUUUCCUCAGAUGGAGAAAGACCCGUUCGUGUAGACCACCAUUGCUCGGCACGUCUUUGAUAUUGAUACUUAAGAGUCGGAUUGCUUGAGAAUGCAGUCCAAAGACGGGUGGUAAACUCCAUCCAAGGCUAAAUACUGGCACGAGUCCGAUAGUAGACAAGUACCGUGAGGGAAAGUUGAAAAGUACUCUGAAGAGAGCGUUCUUUGCUCUCCGCUCGGCACUUUGGUGCUUAGCAUUCCUGACCUCGGAUCCUACGUGAAUACCCGCUGAACUUAUUUUUAUCACUAUUCGGAGGACAACAAUCUAUUUUUUUUGUGGAGAGGGGGGCACCCCCCCAGGUUUUUACGGGGGUUUUUCCCUUUAGGAAGAAAGAUCAAAAGGGGGAUGGGGGGGGGACUCUAAACACAUCUUUUUGUAAUUUUUUUGUUACACCAUUAUUCUGUCACUUGUUAGUUGUGGUGGUGGUGUGGCAAUACACUUCCGCUUUUUUAUGUAGUAAUCUGGGACAUU
rnacentral:rRNA from 1 species